rnacentral:rRNA from 1 species
UACAGAGGUCUCAAGCGUUGUUCGGAUUCAUUGGGCGUAAAGGGUGUGUAGGUGGCGCCGUAAGUCGGGUGUGAAAUCUCGGGGCUUAACUCCGAAACUGCAUUCGAUACUGCGGUGCUUGAGGACUGGAGAGGAGACUGGAAUUUACGGUGUAGCGGUGAAAUGCGUAGAUAUCGUAAGGAAGACCAGUGGCGAAGGCGGGUCUCUGGACAGUUCCUGACGCUGAGGCACGAAAGGCCAGGGGAGCAAACGGG